rnacentral:piRNA from 1 species
UCCCUGACUAUGCAGGAAAGUUAUGGACGC